GUUUCCGUGAUGUAGAGGUUAUCACAUCCAUUUUACACGAGGAAGGUUUUGGUUCAAACCCGGGCGGAAACA